CCUAUAAGACUGGGAUAACUUCGGGAAACCGGAGCUAAUGCCGGAUAACAUAUAGAACCGCAUGGUUCUAUAGUGAAAGAUGGUUUUGCUAUCACUUAUAGAUGGACCCGCGCCGUAUUAGCUAGUUGGUAAGGUAAUGGCUUACCAAGGCGACGAUACGUAGCCGACCUGAGAGGGUGAUCGGCCACACUGGAACUGAGACACGGUCCAGACUCCUACGGGAGGCAGCAGUAGGGAAUCUUCCGCAAUGGGCGAAAGCCUGACGGAGCAACGCCGCGUGAGUGAUGAAGGUUUUCGGAUCGUAAAACUCUGUUAUUAGGGAAGAACAAAUGCGUAAGUAACUGUGCGCAUCUUGACGGUACCUAAUCAGAAAGCCACGGCUAACUACGUGCCAGCAGCCGCGGUAAUACGUAGGUGGCAAGCGUUAUCCGGAAUUAUUGGGCGUAAAGCGCGCGUAGGCGGUUUCUUAAGUCUGAUGUGAAAGCCCACGGCUCAACCGUGGAGGGUCAUUGGAAACUGGGAAACUUGAGUGCAGAAGAGGAAAGUGGAAUUCCAUGUGUAGCGGUGAAAUGCGCAGAGAUAUGGAGGAACACCAGUGGCGAAGGCGACUUUCUGGUCUGUAACUGACGCUGAUGUGCGAAAGCGUGGGGAUCAAACAGGAUUAGAUACCCUGGUAGUCCACGCCGUAAACGAUGAGUGCUAAGUGUUAGGGGGUUUCCGCCCCUUAGUGCUGCAGCUAACGCAUUAAGCACUCCGCCUGGGGAGUACGACCGCAAGGUUGAAACUCAAA
rnacentral:rRNA from 1 species